CAGGCUAGGGGCGGUGAGCGCGGGGACAAAUGGAUGAAGAUCCCUUGCCUGUUAGGGCUGUGGGGACACCUGAUGAGGGGCACCACUCACCUAUGGCUCUGCGUCCUGACAGCAGCUGGCUCUGGUGAACCCAACGGAAAGCCCUACGAGCCUGGCUGGUGGCUGAGCUGCCUUCUCCAUAGGCUGUUCACCAAUCUCGAGAGUCACCUGCCAUGAAGUCCCAGGAGUUCUGACAUCCAGUGUUCAUGCCCAUGGAGCAACCAACAAGAAUGUUCUGUUCACUGCCGCAUCCUUAGAUCUAACACAGCACCUGGCAUAUGGUAGAUGUUGAGUACAUUGUCAAACAAACAUGCUUGCUUUGAUGAAGAAAGCUGCUAUAUUGGAGAGGCCCAUGUGGCAAGAACUUGAGUGUAGCCUGUAGCCAGUAUCCAGUGGGCAAAUGAGGCUCUCAAUCCAACAGCCUACAAGGAAUUGAAUCCAACUGACAAGCAUGUGAGUGAGCUUGGAAGCCAACCCUGCCCCAGGCAAUUCACCAGGACAGAGGCCUUUCAACUUUCCUCCCUGAGAUCUUCCUCCGUGAACCAACAACAAAAGGACCAGCCACCUCACUGGUCCUCUGUUGCCAGUAGAAAAAGCCCUACAAGGAUUAAUGCAAGAAGAAGUUCUGCUUUGGGGUUCUAUGAGGCUGAAAAUAUUGGAUCAGUAUUCCUGAGGAAUCUGCGUUUCAGAAUCCCAGGUCCGGAAGGACAAGAAGUACUUUGCAAACAAAUCAAAUGUACGUUUAGGAAGAUGAAAUCAUGCAACAGAAAGAUUUUUCAGAAUUUUUCAGCAACAGAUUUUACACACAAUUCAGAAGGAAGAAAGAACAGAUGAGUUUGGGAAUCAGGAGACCAGAUGUCAAGACUGGACUACAUCUUUAUAUUCAUUUCCAGAUUUAAAGUUCUAUGUUGUAUUUUAUUUGAUGCAAAGCAAUAAAAUAUUCCUCCCUCCUGUGACCACCG
rnacentral:lncRNA from 10 species